UAUCUAUGUUUUAAAAUAAGUUAAUUUCAAAUAUAUUAUUAAUAAAUUACUUUGAUGGAAAUAGUUGAAAUUUUUAUUUUAUUAAAUUGUACCUUUUGAAUAAUGGUUAUACUAUAUUAAUAUAAUUUUAUAAUUCCCGAAAUAAGAAGAGCUAAUUAUUAUAUAACUGUUUUGAAAAGAUUAACAACUAUGUUGAAAUAUGGUUUGAAAAUUAAUAAUUAGAAGUGAAAAACUCUCAAUUCUUAAGAUACCUGGAAGUCUUAGAAAAGCAUUUAGUGCUGUAAAAAUUAAAUAUAAAGCGAUUAGGUUUUAUAUAAAUAAUAUUUUAGUUCAAAAUUAAUUUUCUGAUGUUAAUCCAACUGAAAUAAAAGAAAAAUUUUAUAAAUUACUAUUUUAAUUUAAUUAAGUAUAAGAUUUACCUAAACAUUUUUGGCUAGAGUUAAUAAUGUAUAAAUAAGUAAUAAUUUAUUUUUAAUCUCAAAGUAUAAAUGAAAUAGAUUGAGUAUUAAAAGAUGUAAAAUUUAAUAAUUAGUAUAAAGGAACUCGGCAAAAAGAAAACUUCGUCUGUUUAACAAAAACAUAGCUUUAGGAAAAUAAAUCUAAAGUUAAACCUGCCCAGUGUAGAAAUUUAAUAAUUAUAAAUGGCCGCGGUACUUUGACCGUGCUAAGGUAGCGCAAUUAAUUGGCUUUUAAAUGGAGUCAGGUAUGAAUGGGAUCACGGAGUUUAGCUGUCUCUAAAUUAAUUUAUUGAAAUUACUGUGUAGGUGAAAAAGCCUAUAGAAAGAAAAAGGACGAGAAGACCCUUAGAGUUUUAGUUUAAAGUAAAAUAAUUUUUUAUGAUAAUUUAGUUGGGGCAACAUAGGAACAAUAACAGUAUUAUAACUUCCUUAAUAUAUUUAUUUACCGAUUUUUAUAAAAUUGAAUAAACUACCUUAGGGAUAACAGCAUAAUUUAGUGUAUAAGUUUGUGACCUCGAUGUUGGACUAGGAAAUUGAAAGGUUAGCCGCUUUUUAAGAAGGUUCUGUUCGAACUAGAUAUCCUACAUGAUCUGAGUUCAGACCGGCGCAAGCCAGGUCAGAUUCUAUCUUUUUAAAUUGAAACUUUAGUACGAAAGGACCAAUUUUC
rnacentral:rRNA from 1 species